rnacentral:rRNA from 1 species
AUUGAACGCUGGCGGCAGGCCUAACACAUGCAAGUCGAGCGGAUGAAGGGAGCUUGCUCCUGGAUUCAGCGGCGGACGGGUGAGUAAUGCCUAGGAAUCUGCCUGGUAGUGGGGGAUAACGUCCGGAAACGGGCGCUAAUACCGCAUACGUCCUGAGGGAGAAAGUGGGGGAUCUUCGGACCUCACGCCAUCAGAUGAGCCUAGGUCGGAUUAGCUAGUUGGUGGGGUAAAGGCCUACCAAGGCGACGAUCCGUAACUGGUCUGAGAGGAUGAUCAGUCACACUGGAACUGAGACACGGUCCAGACUCCUACGGGAGGCAGCAGUGGGGAAUAUUGGACAAUGGGCGAAAGCCUGAUCCAGCCAUGCCGCGUGUGUGAAGAGGGUCUUCGGAUUGUAAAGCACUUUAAGUUGGGAGGAAGGGCAGUAAGUUAAUACCUUGCUGUUUUGACGUUACCAACAGAAUAAGCACCGGCUAACUUCGUG